AGAGUUUGAUCCUGGCUCAGAAUCAACGCUGGCGGCGCGCUUAACACAUGCAAGUCGAACGAGAAAGGGGAGCAAUCCCUGAGUAAAGUGGCGUACGGGUGAGUAACACGUGGAUCAUCUACCCUCUUGUGGGGAAUACCGCUGGGAAACCGGCGACAAUACCGCAUAAGCUCGAGAGAGGAAAGCCGAAAGGCGCUGGAGGAGGAGUCCGCGGUCGAUUAGUUAGUUGGCAGGGUAAAAGCCUACCAAGACUGUGAUCGAUAGCCGGCCUGAGAGGGCACACGGCCACACUGGCACUGAAACACGGGCCAGACUCCUACGGGAGGCAGCAGUGGGGAAUCUUGCACAAUGGGGGCAACCCUGAUGCAGCGACGCCGCGUGAGUGAUGAAGCCCUUCGGGGCGUAAAGCUCUUUCGGCAGGGACGAUUAUGACGGUACCUGCAGAAGCAGCUGCGGCUAACUACGUGCCAGCAGCCGCGGUAAUACGUAGGCAGCAAGCGUUGUUCGGAGUUACUGGGCGUAAAGGGUGCGUAGGCGGCUUUUUAAGUUUGGUGUGAAAUCUCCUGGCUUAACCGGGAGGGUGCGCCGAAUACUGAGAAGCUAGAGUAUGGGAGAGGAAAGUGGAAUUCCUGGUGUAGCGGUGAAAUGCGUAGAUAUCAGGAGGAACACCUGUGGUGUAGACGGCUUUCUGGACCAUAACUGACGCUGAGGCACGAAAGCGUGGGUAGCAAACAGGAUUAGAUACCCUAGUAGUCC
rnacentral:rRNA from 1 species